CCAGCGGCUCCGCCCGGCAUCGCGCUCCCGCUCGCCUGCCUGGGUCGGGCCUUCCUCUCGCCUCUCCUCCUGCCGCUCGGUCUCCUCCUUCUCGCGGGCGAUGGCGGCGCUCCACGGGGCGGCCACCAAGGCCGGCGCCCCGCCGCAGAUCCCGGACACCCGUCGCGAGCUGGCCGAGCUGGUCAAGCGGAAGCAGGAGCUGGCCGAGACGCUGGCCAACCUGGAGCGGCAGAUCUACGCCUUCGAGGGCAGCUACCUGGAAGAUACCCAGAUGUACGGCAACAUCAUCCGAGGCUGGGACCGCUACCUGACCAACCAGAAAAACUCUAACAGCAAGAAUGACCGACGGAACCGCAAGUUCAAAGAAGCCGAGCGCCUUUUCAGCAAGUCUUCAGUCACAUCAGCUGCUGCGGUCAGCGCACUGGCAGGAGUUCAGGACCAGCUCAUUGAAAAACGGGAGCCUGGCAGCGGGACAGAGAGCGACACCUCCCCAGACUUCCACAACCAGGAGAAUGAACCGAGCCAAGAAGAAGCGGAAGAGCUGGACGGCUCCGUCCAAGGGGUGAAGCCCCAGAAGGCAGCAUCCUCCACUUCGGGCAGCCACCACAGUAGCCACAAAAAACGGAAGAACAAAAAUCGACACAGGUAUGUAUAUUAGGUUAGGCUGGCAAGUUUUUUAAAAUACAGACAAAAGCGCAUUGGAGGAUUGAUCUCAAAUUGAACAAAAAGCCCCGAGCUGAUUACUAGAUGCCUCCAUGCUGAAUCUUCCAAGAGCCUGUCUGCCUCCCGCCCCAAAUCCCAGUCCGCAUCAGGAGACUGAAUAAGCACAAGGCCAGCUCUUUCCCACCCCAGACUGCCCAGCUCUCCUGGCUCAGCUCAGCUCAGAUGAUGUUGAUGGGGACAAUCUGUGGCAGCGGCGGCAGCAGCAGCUGCUCCUUCUUUCCUUCCUUCCUUCUCAGCUGAUCGGCAACAGACGCCCACCUUGGAUUGGCCAGCCUCACUGAUGCUGUUCCAUCAUGUGUAAAAUAACCAUCAGGAAAUGCUCAUCGAUGUUUCUUCUGGUUGAUUAGAACCCCCUUUUUGUCUCACGGUGUUGCUUUCUCUUUUUUUUUUUAAAGCAAACCUUGAUAUUUAAAUUACAACUUUUUUAAAAAAAAGAAAGAAAAGAAACAGCCCAGCUGUGCUGCCCCCUUGUCUAUGUAGGUCCUCUUCCCUCUUGUUGGAGCCUGACUGUGGUGAUGCUGGAGGAACUACUUCAAAGAGGCAGCAGGUUGGAGCAGGAAAGUGACUUUAUUUAAUUCUCCUGAUGCUUGAGAAGGGAUAAAGGCGGUGGGGGCAGAGUCUCUCUCUCUCUUUUUUAAAAAACACUUCUGUCUUUUGUUUGUAAAUAAAGCCAUCAAACUUCCAUCUCACUGAGCUUGUUUCUGAGCAGGAGGCAUGUCUUACUCUGGGGGUGCGGGGAGACCUAGCUGGCCAGCCAGCCUGGGUCAGGGCCAGAUCCUGCUGCUGGUGGUCUGCAAGGGACCAUUGCAUCAAGACAGGGAAGACCUUUUGCAGCCAAGAGCUCUAGGGAGAGGCAGGCAGCCCUAGCAGGACCACCUGGGCAAGUGCUGGGGAGGGGGGCUCAGGAGGGAGCUCUCUGAUGACUGUGCUGGUGAGUUUUGCUGGCUCACCUGAUUGCGACCGUUCAUGUAUCCAACCUGAAGCACUUGGGAGAGGCCUUCUGAGAUGUGGUGACGCCAGGUGGUCGUGGGAUUGGGCACCACCUUGUUAGCAGGGAGCAAAGGAGCCAGAGACACGGAUUUCCGAAACAAGCACCUGAAAAUUACCUAGUUCUGCUUUCAUCAUUUGGGCUGUUCCAGUUUUGCACUCUGUUGCCACACUUCCCUGAAUUUCAAGGAUUCAAAAUUAUGGGAAUGGUGGAGAAAUUUCUGUGACCGAAGAUACAGGAGCAUCACCUGGGCAGGUGUGUGAAAUGUGUGCAACCACCUUCAUGGAUAAGGCUGCUGUUCGCCUCCCCUCUGGCCCCAACCCUUUUUCUCGCCACUCCUCCCCCUACCAAUCAGCAUUUAAACAAAGGCUCCUCAGACAGAGGAAUCCAGCUAGGAAGUAACCAGCCAAGAGUGCCUUCAGCCUAGAUGUUAAAAGUCAGAUCUUACAACCAAACCUCCCACCAACACCAAGAUAAAUUGCAAGUCGCCUCCCCUUGCCACAUUGGAACCCCUUUAGCAUUUAAAUUUACGUUGCAGUGAAGAUGGCAAGAAAGCCAGUGAAAGGAAAAUAACAAGUUAGGCAAAAUGCACUGGGACACCUGGCUUCUAAGGGGGUUCCUGGAGUUCCCAAGGGAAGUAUUGGGAAUUUCUGAGGCUGGGUCUUGACAUUAGGCAGAGGAAGGCAGCCAACAUAGGCAAAAGAUCAUUGGUGUUAAGUAAAGGCAGCAUAUUUUCAGUUGAUUUAUUAUUACUGUAAUUUUUUUAUUGCAGCCGGGAAGGGGAAUAUCAAUCCUUAUUUAUUUGUAAAAAAUAUUUGUAUACCGUUAUAUCAUCCAAAGUAUAUCAAAGCUGUUUACAAAAAUAAAAACUACCACCCACUUUGGGAACUACUGUAUUAAACUUUUAAAAUACUGA